rnacentral:lncRNA from 1 species
UUAAAUAUUAUACAAUGCUCAAAUGUAAUACACAAAGAGGAUCAAGAUGAACACAUAUUGCACAAGCAUUGAUAAUAUAUUCACAAACAUACAUAUACUGAUCAUAAGUUCAAAAACAGGACAAUCUUGACAAAGCAAAGUUUGGCCAUUUGACCACCAUCCAGCAAACACAAGCCACAUAAAAGGACCACUAUUUGUUGUUCUGCAGGAGUUCAAACACUAAAUGGUACAGAACAAAGUCACACCCAUGAGCACAAGAUAUAUGCUCCAAAACACUUCAAGCACCAAAUGGUCUAGAACAGACAUAAGAUUCAUGAUCACAAGUUGGCUGGUCCAAAAUACUGUAACAGCCAAAUGCUGCCGAACACCCUGAAGUCAUCACAUCCAUGUGCAAUAGAUGGUUGAGUACCUGAAAAUGAAUGGUCAAAUUCUCAUAUGUUCACCCCAACGAUUUUGUGCACUUCAAAGUUUGAAAAUAAAUGUCAAAAACAAAUGUAGUCGUAUGUUGUCUAAUGAACUAGAAUUAAAAUGUAUAGCUUCAGACCAAAAAAAACUGUAGUAUGUGAAGUUCUGCAUAUGCCAUGUGAUCUUUAGAUUGUGACCAUCAAAGUGUUAACACCAAACUAAUAGAUGUAUGCUAACUACUAAGCAAUUUAUAUGAGCAUCAGAUUACGUCAUGUGAUUUCAUAUUUUUAAUUUUAAAACUGCAGUAUGUGGAGUUCAUUUUUAUAUUCAAGACACGAAAAGUUAUCUAGUGAUACUAUAAUUUCACAAAUAGGUUUUACAAUUUCAGAUACACUGAAGUGUUAUGUGUGACACAUUUUCCUCGCUUGCCAUUUGGUUUACUCUGGCGUAUGAUAGUUAAUCCAUGUACUAGUGUUCUUAGUUCAAUAUUAUCUGAUCGAUAAACUAGCUAAAUGACACGAAAAUCAGUCUUGGAGCAUUUGUGUGUUCAUCAAAAAUGAAAAGGGGUCCACAAGACAACUAUGGAAAAUGGUUCAUGGGUUGUACAUAUUAUCUGUAAAUCAAAUGAUAACAUACUCACAUCGCUUGUUUCUUAUGCAAACUAUUUUAGUUCAUAGGCUGCUUCUUCCACUGCACGUUGCUCUGAAAAGUGUGAAUACAUGUGUCAACCACCCUGUGAAGACGAAAACUAUGUUUAAUAAUAUAGAUAACUCGGCUGAUCCUAAAUCAAAUUAGAAACUAGGCCAAGGGACUGCAAGUUAUGUCCUUGGUAAGUUUAUUGUAUGAACUUUUCAAAUGCACAAAUGAUUUUCAGGUAAUAUUAGGACAUCAC